rnacentral:rRNA from 1 species
AUGGGAUGUGUCACUACUAUGACUUAUAGGAUUAAGGUCAACAAUGAUCUGACGGAGGUCAUUGUGCCUGAGAGAGGCUUAAGGCAGGGAUGCCCCCUAUCACCCUAUCUUUUCAUUCUCUGUGCGGAGGGCCUUUCUGCUCUGUUCCAAGAUGCCGAGAGAGAGGGUAGCCUUCAGGGGGUGCAGGUUUGUACGGGAGCCCCAAGGAUAAACCAUAUGUUCUUUGCGGACGAUUCUCUCAUCUUCAUGAAGGCAAACGAGGCUAGUGCAGGAAAGUUGAUGAGCAUUUUGGCCUUGUAUGAGGAUGCCUCGGGGCAGGUGAUUAAUAAAGACAAAUCGGUUGUCAUGUUCAGCAAGGGGACUUCUCAGGCGGUGAAGAGGAAGUUCAAGAAUCUCCUCCAGAUUAGUGACGAGGCCUUCAAUGAAAGGUAUCUUGGUUUGCCUAUUUACCUGGGCAAGUCCAAGAGCAAAGCAUUUGGCUAUUUGUUGGAGAAGGUGUGGAAGAAGAUCCAGGGAUGGAAGGAAAAUUUUAUUUCUAGGGCGGGAAAGGAAAUAUUGGUUAAGGCGGUGGCGCAGGCAAUCCCUAUUUUUGCCAUGUCCUGUUUUGAUCUCACUAAAACUCUCUGCGACGAUAUCAGCUCGAUGGUGUGCCGCUAUUGGUGGAACAAUCAGGAGGAGGAUCGACACCACUAG